ensembl:lncRNA SCGB1B2P secretoglobin family 1B member 2, pseudogene
GAGGGACCUGCGUCCGCACUGCCCCAGUGUGACCCGCAUACCUACCGGCCCCGACCCCGAACCGCGUGGCGUCCGCCCGAGCCCUGGCGCUGCUGGGUCUCCUGCUGCUGCCGCUGCUCGCAGAGCCCAGGAAACUCUGCCCGCAGCUUAUGACGGUCAUUAACCAGUUUCUGACCAAGGACAAGGACACCUACAUGGACACUGUCAACAGAUACCACCUCACGGAGCCGGAAAGAAACACAUCCUCUAAACUCAAGGACUGCGUGACCGACACAAUGACCCCCGAGGAGACAGAGGCCGUCGUGCAGCAACUGACCCCUCCCUUCGGCCUCCCACCCCUCCCCACAGGAAGAAAUCAACAACCAGUGUGCCGACACGAUACUGAAGUAACACCAUCCAUAGGCACCUCGGGUUCCUGUCCAGGCUGCCUGUCCCAACCAUGAGAAUCUGGGCCCAGGGCCCCACCCUCCCUAGCUCCCGCCCUGCUGCUGCCUCUACUCUCUCUCCUGCUGUGCUGAUUGGGGCAAGCCUGGGAACGGCUGCCCCCCACCUCCCCACCCAGGCCUGUCCCCUGCGGGACAAUGCUGCCUAAUAAACUCACCUGCAUCCA